UACUCUUGACAUCCAGAGAACUUAGCAGAGAUGCUUUGGUGCCUUCGGGAACUCUGAGACAGGUGCUGCAUGGCUGUCGUCAGCUCGUGUUGUGAAAUGUUGGGUUAAGUCCCGCAACGAGCGCAACCCUUAUCCUUUGUUGCCAGCGGUCCGGCCGGGAACUCAAAGGAGACUGCCAGUGAUAAACUGGAGGAAGGUGGGGAUGACGUCAAGUCAUCAUGGCCCUUACGAGUAGGGCUACACACGUGCUACAAUGGCGCAUACAAAGAGAAGCGACCUCGCGAGAGCAAGCGGACCUCAUAAAGUGCGUCGUAGUCCGGAUUGGAGUCUGCAACUCGACUCCAUGAAGUCGGAAUCGCUAGUAAUCGUAGAUCAGAAUGCUACGGUGAAUACGUUCCCGGGCUU
rnacentral:rRNA from 1 species